GCUAGGGGGGGGGGAGACGGUGGGGGAAGACGGAGGGGUGAAGAGUUAAGUGGAAUUACUGGGCGUAAAGAGGGCGUAGGCGGUUUGUUAAGUCGGGGGUGAAAUCCCUGGGCUCAACCUGGGAACGGCGCUUGUGACUGGCAGGCUAGAGUACGGCAGAGGGGGGUGGAAUUCCACGUGUAGCAGUGAAAUGCGUAGAGAUGUGGAGGAACACCAAUGGCGAAGGCAGCCCCCUGGGUCGAUACUGACGCUCAUGCACGAAAGCGUGGGUAGCGAAUGGGAUUAGAUACCCCUGUAGUC
rnacentral:rRNA from 1 species